GUUCAACAUUCUGCUGUUGGUAAUGAGUGAUUUCUUUCCAGCAUGUUUCUUUACUUUUUCAAGACGCAUGCAAUGCUAAAAGACGCAGCAUGGUGGGGUUGAACAUGUCUUGCAAAUGGAAUUAUGAGGCACUGCUCACUUUCAAUUGUUUUGCAUAAGCAUCACAGAUAUGUUGACAUAACUGAUCUUGAUGUGAAAAUAUUGUUUCAGCCUUUAUGUAGAGGAUAUUGACCACCCAUAAUACAAUUAAGGUUGCACAACAGACACACACACAGCUCUCGGCAGAACUUAAGACUAAUGCUGAAGAAGUAUGCCCAGAGAGCCAAAACCUUUCCGAUGUGCCAUUUUUGACCACAAGAGACAUGGUUGAUUGGGAUGCUGAACUCGGCGUCAACAAGGAAGCAAAGCUUUGAAUGAAAAGACACAUGGUUGUCCAAGGUGGCGACACCAUAAAACAGAAGACUGUACACAUUUUAAAGAGCAUCAGGUCUUGGGAUGUGGCGAAACAGUUCAGUUGGUAUGGCGCAAAAGGCAAAAUGAAGUUUUGUGAGCAGAAUGUUUCCAAGCUACUGUGAACCUGCCUGAUAGAAAAUAUCAAGCAGAAUCAGAAGGAGGCUACAUUGAAAAACAUUGAAAAAGCAGCCAUGCCUUGGUUCCGCCAUGCCGCAGACCAGACAGCAGCAGGACAGCAAAGGCAACAAAGACCACUGAACAGAACUUCAGAAGAGGACGACGAAGCCCUCAUUUCUUGAGACAGUGCACCUUAAUUACUGCUCAACUUUGCAAUAAAUACUUUUG